AUGGGCCAGUGUCACGGGCCAGAGCAAGGCACAAUCAAAAUUGCUUUAGGAAUUUUCUAUUAUUGUGCCUUGCAUAAGCAAGCACAAUACUACUCUUCCUCGGGCUUAGUUUUCUUAUUAUUCUUCCGUACGUUUUUCGGCGCGCUUCUUCUCCCGCAGCUUUUGUCGCACAUACACAAAAAAGGUAUCAAAACGUGCGGCUCGGCCGGGAAUCGAGUGCUAUGACUUUUCUAAGAAUUUCGCCAAACGGUUUGCCGAUAAAUCGCCAAAAACCGGUCAAAAAAUGAAUGGGUGUGUAUUGCGAGAACCUCCAACCGAAAAAACUGCCAGAGUGCGUGACAUCAUCGCUAGAGUGUGGGGAGAGAGAAAAAUUUGUCGAAAAAUAAAUUUGUAAACUGCUGUCAUGGCCACAAAUUUCACUCUACCGAAAUAAUUUAUAGAUAGAAACGUAGGUAAAUUUGUUGGGGUCGCAGUGAUACUACUGCUGAAGCUGUCAGACAAAUAGUUUUGGCGGGAGACGCACUGAUGCGCCAGCAACGCCCUCUCACGGCCCCAUCUAUUCCCAUGUUAAAAUGGAGAGGAGGAAUCUUGAAAGGAGCUCGUUGAACCUCUUCUCUCUCAAUCUCCCCAGGUCACAUUUUUUAACUUUAACCACUGAAACUCGGCAGAGCUAUAGUCAACAAGAUGACGACGCUCACGGUCUUUUCGGUUUUCAUUUCGGUCGUUCCUGGCCAUGCUUUUGAGGGGAUUCAUUUUAAAUGUUUCUGUCUCUCUGAGGAGUUAGAGACAGAGAGAGAGCGUGCGCAGCUGCUGUGGGCUCCCCUGAUUGCCAUGACAACCAAAGCCUGCUCACACACACACACACACACACAGCUAGCUACAGAGAAUGAAAAGGCAUUAAUAAGCUAGCGCUAGCUGGCUAGCUAAAGAUAAUUAGCAGGUGGCUAACAAACAAUUUAAAGCUGAAUGAUUUUAAUAUUAACACAAAAUAAGAACAAUACACCUUAAAUAUUUUACCCUACUAUGAGCUGUUCCUUAAUUUACAUUAGCACUCCUUCAGGAGCAUAAUACAAUUAAACACAUUAACCACAGCUAGCACUUAGCUAGCAAUUAGCGGUUAGCACUUAGCUAGCGUUUAGCGCAGAGCUAGCGAUUAGCGGUUAGCUAGCGAUUAGCGCACGGCUAGUGAUUAGCAGUUAAAUAGCGGUUAGCACGUAGACAUGGUAUUAACAUAUGGGCCAGAGCAAGGCACAAUCAAAAUUGCUUUAGGAAUUUUCUAGUUAUUGUGCCUUGCAUAAGCAAGCACAAUACUACUCUUCCUCGGGCUUAUUAAACUUAUUAUUAUUCUUCCGUACGUUUUUUCGGCGCGCUACUCCUCCCGGAGCUUUUGUCGCACGUACACAAGAAAGGUAUCAAAACGUGCGGCUCGGCCGGGAAUCGAGUGCUAUGACUUUUCUAAGAAUUUCGCCAAACGGUUCGCCGGUAAAUCGCCAAAAACCGGUCCAAAAAAUGAAUGGGUGUGUAUUGCGAGAACCUCCAACCGAAAAAAACUGCCAGAGUGCGUGACAUCAUCGCUAGAGUGUGGGGAGAGAGAAAAAUUUGUCGAAAAAUAAAUUUGUAAACUGCUGUCAUGGCCACAAAUUUCACUGUACAGAAAUAAUUUAUAGAUAGAAACGUAGGUAAAUUCGUUGGGGUCGCAGUGAUACUACUGCUGAAGCUGUCAGACAAAUAGUUUUGGCGGGAGACGCACUGAUGCGCCAGCAACUCCCUCUCAUGGCCCCAUCUACUCCCAUGUUAAAAUGGAGAGGAGGAUUCUUGAAAAACGCUCGUUGAACCUCUUCUCUCUCAAUCUCCCCAGGUCACAUUUUUUAACUUUAACCACUGAAACUCGGCAGUGCUAUAGUCAACAAGAUGACAACGCCCACGGUCUUUUCGGUUUUCAUUUCGGUCGUUCCUGGCCAUGCUUUUGAGGGGAUUCAUUUUAAAUGUUUUCUGUCUCUCUGAGGAGUUAGAGACAGAGAGAGAGCGUGCGCAGCUGCUGUGGGCUCCCCUGAUUGCCAUGACAACCAAAGCCUGCUCACACACACACACACACACACACAGCUAGCUACAGAGAAUGACAAGACAUUAAUAAGCUAGCGCUAGCUGGCUAGCUAAAGAUAAUUAGCAGGUGGCUAACAAACAAACAAUUUAAAGCUGAAUGAUUUUAAUAUUAACACAAAAUAAGAACAAUACACCUUAAAUAUUUUACCCUACUAUGAGCUGUUCCUUAAUUUACAUUAGCACUCCUUCAGGAGCAUAAUACAAUUAAACACAUUAAGCUAGCACUUAGCUAGCGAUUAGCGGUUAGCUAGCGAUUAGCAUGUAGCUAGCGAUUAGCGCUUAGCUAGCGAUUAGCAUGUAGCUAGCGAUUAGCGGUUAGCUAGCGAUUAGCGGUUAGCUAGCGAUUAGCACGUAGCUAAGCGCUAGCUUUGGUUUAUGUGUUUAUGUGUGCUAGCUCUAGCUAGCUAACUAAAGAGAAUGACAUGAUAUUAAUAUGCUAGCGCUAGCUAAGGAGGAUGACAGGUUAUCAAUAUGCUAUAGGGAGGAUUACAUGGCAUUAAUAAUCUAGCGCUAGCUGGCUAGCUAAAGAUAAUUAGCAGGCGGCUAACAAGCAAACAAUUUAAGGCUGAAUGAUUUUAAUAUUAACACAAAAUAAGUUUAAUACACCUUAAAUAUUUUACCCUACUAUGAGCUGUUCCUUAAUUUACAUUAGCACUCCUUCAGGAGCAUUAUACAAUUAAACACAUUAACCAAAGCUAGCACUUAGCUAGCGAUUAGCGAGAUUAGCACGUAGCUAGCGAUUAGCGCUUAGCUAGCGCUUAGCACGUAGCUAAGCGCUACCUUUGGUUAAUGUGUUUAUGUGUGCUAGCUCUAGCUAAAGAGAAUUACAUGGUAUUAAUAUGCUAGCGCUAGCGUGCUAGAGAGCAAGACAUGGCUAGACAUGGUAUUAACAUAUGGGCCAGAGCAAGGCACAAUCAAAAUUGCUUUAGGAAUUUUCUAGUUAUAAUAUUUUAUUCUUCCGUACGCUUUUUCGGCGCGCUUCUUCUCCCAGAGCUUUGAUCGCACGUACACAAAAAAGGUAUCAGAACGUGCGGCUCGUUGAGGACAUUAGUGCUAUGACUUUUCUAAGAAUUUCGCCAAACGGUUUGCCGAUAAAUCGCCAAAAACCGGUCCAAAAAAUGAAUGGGUGUGUAUUGCGAGAACCUCCAACUGAAAAAAACUGCCAGAGUGCGUGACAUCAUCGCUAGAGUGUGGGGAGAGAGAAAAAUUUGUCGAAAAAUAAAUUUGUAAACUGCUGUCAUGGCCACAAAUUUCACUCUACCGAAAUAAUUUAUAGAUAGAAACGUAGGUAAAUCCGUUGGGGUCGCAGUGAUACUACUGCUGAAGCUGUCAGACAAAUAGUUUUGGCGGGAGACGCACUGAUGCGCCAGCAACACCCUCUCACGGCCCCAUCUACUCCCAUGUUAAUUUUAGAGGACAAAUCUUGAAAAACGCUUGUUGAACCUCUUCUCUCUCAAUCUCCCCAGGUCACAUUUUUUAACUUUAACCACUGAAACUCGGCAGCGCUAUAGUCAACAAGAUGACGACGCUCACGGUCUUUUCGGUUUUCAUUUCGGUCGUUCCUGGCCAUGCUUUUGAGGGGAUUCAUUUUAAAUGUUUCUGUCUCUCUGAGGAGUUAGAGACAGAGAGAGCGCGCGCAGCUGCUGUGGGCUCCCCUGAUUGCCAUGACAACCAAAGCCUGCUCACACACACCACACACACACACACACACACAGCUAGCUACAGAGAAUGACAAGGCAUUAAUAAGCUAGCGCUAGCUGGCUAGCUAAAGAUAAUUAGCAGGUGACUAACAAACAAACUAAUUUAAAGCUAGAAUGUAAUUU
rnacentral:lncRNA from 15 species